GACGAACGCUGGCGGCGCGCUUAACACAUGCAAGUCGAGCGAAGCGGCGGACGGGUGAGUAACACGUGAGUAACCUGCCUUAGACAUUGGGAUAGCCUCGGGAAACCGGGAUUAAUACCAAAUGCUCUAAGAUGGACUCGCGUCCCAUUAGCUAGUGGGUGAGGUAACGGCCCACCAAGGCGACGAUGGGUAGCCGGCCUGAUAGGGUGACCGGCCACAUUGGAACUGAGAAACGGUCCAAACUCUACGGGAGGCAGCAGUUGGGAAUAUUGCACAAUGGAGGUAACUCUGAUGCAGCGACGCCACGUGAACGAAUAAGGCUUUCGAGUCGUAAAGUUCUUUUCUAUGGGAAGCAGUACCAUAGUAAUGAGGACCGGCUAAUUACGUGCCAGCAGCCGCGGUAAUUC
rnacentral:rRNA from 1 species